AUGUGGCAGGCAGGAUGGAAAAACAUCAUUGUUCAUAUUUGCUUAAAUUCUUCACUAAACCAAAAAUCUAUUUUGAUUUGGGUCCAUUAAUAGUCAAGCCAACUCUGAACUGUACCCGACCUGAUUUAUUCCUGUUGCCAACAGAAUAAAAAUCCCAUUUUAAUAUUUCAAAAAAAAAAAAUCCCAUUUUGAAAUUCUGAGUCUACUGGGAGAACAGCAAAUUAGCAAACACUGGAAGGGCUAAAAAAAGAGGCAACUUAGCGAUCAAAACACUGUCAAAUGAGCGCAGGGGCAGGUGGAGCAUUUGGUGGGAGUAGAGGGCUGAGACCAGUGCCACCAGAGAAAGGCAUCUUCCCUUUGGAUCAUUUGCAUGAAUGUGACUUGGAGAAGAAAGAAUACCUCAAUUGCCUUAAAACUUCUGGCCAUAAAUCAGAAAAAUGUAGACAAUUCUCCAAGAAAUACUUGCAGUGUCGAAUGGAAAAGAACUUGAUGGCAAAGCAGGACUUGUCAGAACUUGGAUUUAGGAAGCAAUCAGAGAUGGAAGCUUCUGGGGAUAAGAAUAAUGAGACAAUCGACAAAUGAAGCUGAUCGCCCAACAUUCUCUAGGAUUACUGAUGAAAGAUUUCUUGCAUUACUAAGCUUUUUUUCUUGUGCUCAUAGGAAUGUUCCCUUUGUUCUUGUUUAGGGAUUCAUACUCAGAGUUGAGAUGAUCAUUUAACUUGAGCUUGAGCGUUCAUGCUUUCCAUGUUAGUUUGAGCCAAUGGAAUACUUAUCUAUAAUAAGUUGACAACCCUGCAAAUGAAGCCAAAGGGUUCUUUGGCCUUAUGAAAUGCGGCCCUUAAAAAGUUUCAAGGACAAGACUGUUUCAAGGUUUGAGGUUGUGGAACAUACGGCUUUGGGCAACUAAUCCAAAAUAUAGUCAGAAAAUCUCAACCUUUGACAUUCUUUUUUUUGGUGUCAUGUCUCUGUCAAGGAACAGAAAUGUGGUUGACGCCCUGAUACCAAUAUGAAAACUUGAUGCAGAUUUUGAAAAGAAAGGAUUCCGACAUCCUUUAUAGCCUGUACUAUUAUUGGACAAGAGGUUCUCUUUAUCAAUCAAUUUGCUGUCACAAUUCCUAAGAUCAUUGAAAGAGAUUUGAUUACAAAUCUUCUUGUUGUUUCACAUUCUGAUGUUCAUCAAACAGUAGAGUGCUUCAUCUCCUGUACAAAAUUCACCUGCUUCAACUUUUCUAAUACAACAGAAUCAAAAAUGAGACUGGUGAAGGUUGAUAAGGAGCAUACUUUUGAGUGAUGAAGCAGGCAAGCCUCAGCAAAAAUCUAGAGAAUUAUGAGUUUUCUUUAGCUUAAAAUUCUUUCUAUUAUAAUCUUACAAAUUAAUUAAUCAAAACAAAAAAAUUAUGUAGAGAUUUAUUAUUUAUAAA